rnacentral:rRNA from 1 species
GAUGAACGCUAGCUACAGGCUUAACACAUGCAAGUCGAGGGGAAACGACAUCGAAAGCUUGCUUUUGAUGGGCGUCGACCGGCGCACGGGUGAGUAACGCGUAUCCAACCUGCCCAUCACUUGGGAAUAACCUUGCGAAAGUAAGACUAAUACCCAAUGAUAUCCCACGAAGGCAUCGGAAUGGGAUUAAAGAUUUAUCGGUGAUGGAUGGGGAUGCGUCUGAUUAGCUUGUUGGCGGGGUAACGGCCCACCAAGGCAACGAUCAGUAGGGGUUCUGAGAGGAAGGUCCCCCACAUUGGAGCUGAGACACGGUCCAAACUCCUACGGGAGGCAGCAGUGAGGAAUAUUGGGCAAUGGGCGAGAGCCUGAAACAGCCAAGUAGCGUGCAGGAAGACGGCCCUAUGGGUUGUAAACUGCUUUUAUAAGGGAAUAAAGUGGGUAACGUGUGACUUUUUGCAUGUACCUUAUGAAUAAGAACCGGCUAAUUCCGUG